rnacentral:rRNA from 1 species
UGGGGAAUUUUGGACAAUGGGCGAAAGCCUGAUCCAGCAAUGCCGCGUGUGUGAAGAAGGCCUUCGGGUUGUAAAGCACUUUUGUCCGGAAAGAAAUCCUUGGCUCUAAUACAGUCGGGGGAUGACGGUACCGGAAGAAUAAGCACCGGCUAACUACGUGCCAGCAGCCGCGGUAAUACGUAGGGUGCAAGCGUUAAUCGGAAUUACUGGGCGUAAAGCGUGCGCAGGCGGUUUGCUAAGACCGAUGUGAAAUCCCCGGGCUCAACCUGGGAACUGCAUUGGUGACUGGCAGGCUAGAGUAUGGCAGAGGGGGGUAGAAUUCCACGUGUAGCAGUGAAAUGCGUAGAGAUGUGGAGGAAUACCGAUGGCGAAGGCAGCCCCCUGGGCCAAGUACUGACGCUCAUGCACGAAAGCGUGGGGAGCAAACAGGAUUAGAUACCCUGGUAGUCCACGCCCUAAACGAUGUCAACUAGUUGUUGGGGAUUCAUUUCCUUAGUAACGUAGCUAACGCGUGAAGUUGACCGCCUGGGGAGUACGGUCGCAAGAUUAAAACUCAAAGGAAUUG